rnacentral:rRNA from 1 species
CACUGCCGAGAAAAGCCUCUAGAUAGAAAAUAGGUGCCCGUACCGCAAACCGACACAGGUAGUCAAGAUGAGAAUUCUAAGGUGAGCGAGCGAACUCUCGUUAAGGAACUCGGCAAAAUGACCCCGUAACUUCGGGAGAAGGGGUGCUCUUUAGGGUUAACGCCCAGAAGAGCCGCAGUGAAUAGGCCCAAGCGACUGUUUAUCAAAAACACAGGUCUCUGCUAAACCGUAAGGUGAUGUAUAGGGGCUGACGCCUGCCCGGUGCUGGAAGGUUAAGAGGAGUGGUUAGCUUCUGCGAAGCUACGAAUCGAAGCCCCAGUAAACGGCGGCCGUAACUAUAACGGUCCUAAGGUAGCGAAAUUCCUUGUCGGGUAAGUUCCGACCCGCACGAAAGGCGUAACGAUUUGGGCACUGUCUCAACGAGAGACUCGGUGAAAUCAUAGUACCUGUGAAGAUGCAGGUUACCCGCGACAGGACGGAAAGACCCCGUGGAGCUUUACUGUAGCCUGAUAUUGAAAUUCGGCACAGCUUGUACAGGAUAGGUAGGAGCCUUUGAAACGUGAGCGCUAGCUUACGUGGAGGCGCUGGUGGGAUACUACCCUAGCUGUGUUGGCUUUCUAACCCGCACCACUUAUCGUGGUGGGAGACAGUGUCAGGCGGGCAG